rnacentral:rRNA from 1 species
UACGUAGGGGGCAAGCGUUGUCCGGAAUCAUUGGGCGUAAAGAGCGUGUAGGCGGCCCGGUAAGUCCGCUGUGAAAGUCGGGGGCUCAACCCUCGGAAGCCGGUGGAUACUGUCGGGCUCGAGUACGGAAGAGGCGAGUGGAAUUCCUGGUGUAGCGGUGAAAUGCGCAGAUAUCAGGAGGAACACCGGUGGCGAAGGCGGAUCUCUGGGCCUUACCUGACGCUCAGGCGCGAAAGCUAGGGGAGCGAACUGG